UACGUAGGGGGCAAGCGUUGUUCGGAUUCACUGGGCGUAAAGCGUGCGUAGGCGGUUUGGUAAGUCCGGCGUGAAACCUGCACUGCUCAACAGGCAGAAGCCGCCGGAAACUACCAGGCUAGAGGACGGGAGAGGAAAGUGGAAUUCCAGGUGUAGCGGUGGAAUGCGCAGAUAUCUGGAAGAACACCAGUGGCGAAGGCGGCUUUCUGGACCGUUCCUGACGCUGAGGCACGAAAGCCAGGGGA
rnacentral:rRNA from 1 species